GACGAACGCUGGCGGCGUGCUUAACACAUGCAAGUCGAACGGAAAGUCCCUGCUUUUGUGCGGUGCUCGACUUGCGAACUGGUGAGUAACACUUGAGUUACCUGCCCUUGACUUUGGGAUAACUUCAUGAAACUGGGGCUAAUACCGGAUAGGAGCUCCUGCUUCAUGGUGGGGGUUGGUUAGUUUCGGCGGUUGGGGAUGGACUCGCGUCUUAUCAGCUUGUUGGUGGGGUAGUGGCUUACCAAGGCUUUGACGGGUAGCCGGCCUGAGAGGAGAACCGGACAAAUUAGGACGGAGAUGCGGCACAGACUCGAACGGGAGGCAGCGGUGGAGAAGAUUACACAAGAGGCGGAAGCAUGAUGCAGGAAAGCAACGUGCGGGAUGACGGGCAUCGGGUUGUAAACCGAAUUCGCCUGUGACGAGACGUGAGUGACAGUAAUGGGUAAAGAAGCACCGGCUAACUACGUG
rnacentral:rRNA from 1 species